rnacentral:rRNA from 1 species
UACGUAGGGGGCAAGCGUUGUCCGGAUUUAUUGGGCGUAAAGAGCGUGUAGGCGGCCAGGUAGGUCUGGUGUGAAAACUCGAGGCUCAACCUCGAGAGGUCAUCGGAAACCAUUUGGCUAGAGUCCGGGAGAGGAGAGUGGAAUUCCCGGUGUAGCGGUGAAAUGCGCAGAUAUCGGGAAGAACACCCGUGGCGAAGGCGGUUCUCUGGGACGGUACUGACGCUGAGACGCGAAAGCGUGGGGAGCGAACAGG